CGCGUAGGCGGCUCUGUUUGUCGCGUGUGAAAGCCCCGGGCUCAACCUGGGAGGUGCGCGCGAGACGGCGGGGCUGGAGUUCGGGAGAGGAGCGUGGAAUUCCCAGUGUAGAGGUGAAAUUCGUAGAUAUUGGGAAGAACACCGGUGGCGAAGGCGGCGCUCUGGACCGAGACUGACGCUGAGGCGCGAAAGCGUGGGGAGCAAACAGGAUUAGAUACCCUGGUAGUCCACGCUGUAAACGAUGUGUGCUAGACGUUGGGAGGCCUAGCCUCUCGGUGUCGCAGCCAACGCGGUAAGCACACCGCCUGGGGAGUACGGCCGCAAGGUUAAA
rnacentral:rRNA from 1 species